AUUAGAUACCCGGGUAGUCCCAGCCGUAAACGAUGCUCGCUAGGUGUCAGGCAUGGCGCGACCGUGUCUGGUGCCGCAGGGAAGCCGUGAAGCGAGCCACCUGGGAAGUACGGCCGCAAGGCUGAAACUUAAAGGAAUUGGCGGGGGAGCACAACAACGGGUGGAGCCUGCGGUUUAAUUGGACUCAACGCCGGACAACUCACCGGGGGCGACAGCAAUAUGUAGGCCAAGCUGAAGACUUUGCCUGAAUCGCUGAGAGGAGGUGCAUGGC
rnacentral:rRNA from 2 species